AGGGGCAGGGGAACACAAUACUGCCUGUGCCUCAGUGAGAUCAGGUGCUGAGUAUCCCUGAGACACCUGACUCACUGGCACAGCUCCACUGCCAUCAGUGAGGCAAAUCACUUCCUUUACUGAAAAUAUCAUCUGCUCCUGCUAACUGCCCUGCUGCCUACACCUAGUGUGUGGAAGCUCCUUGCCUUAUUUUCUGACAAGCUGCAUCAAUUUAUGGAGCAAUCUAAGAAUUUCCCAUUGCUCUGACCACCAGCUGCUCUGGUUUACAUCUGCUGCAUCAAUGGCUCAUUCCAGCUCAGAAUCUCCUCCUGAGGUUUACUGGAACUACUGAAUUCCUGGAAAACUACUCAGCAUCCUUUGGUGACAGGCAAAAGGAUAAAAAGGGGAACCAAAACGGUGCAGAACAUAUAAAAUUGGUAGAUGGAUGAGAAAGCUUAAGUUAUUUUGUGUUUCUAUAAGGGAAAAAAGUUUUCUUAAAAAUGGUUAGAGAAAUUAUCGUGAAGAGUAAAAUAAUAUUUAAAAUACUCCAGGAAAGUGUAAUUUAUUUUUUUUAAAUCUCAUUGUAUGAAUCUGGUAUUUUUAGUAGAUCAGCAAGUAAAUAAAUUGUAUUUUCUUUCUUAGUAUUUGGGGCUUAAUAUAUACAUGUAUGAAAAUAAAAACAAUGAAACUGUAGCAAAGAUUAUUUCUGAAGAGCUGCAACAAGACAUUUAAAGUCCUGAUGUGUAUUUGGGAUAGAAGUUACACUUUCUUAUUAUUCCUGAAGUUUGUGUUGCCUCUCCCUUGGCCACGCGGUGUCACUCUGGCACCUCGGUACCGGCAGCCAGGCAGGGGGGCAGGGAAGAGCAGAAAAACUCGCUCAGACUCUCCUGGCUCCAUGAAAAAUUGAAGGGUAUUUAUUUUCUGGUAGGCAGCCAGGCUGAAAAUAAUAUCUGAAUUGAAAGCCUUUCAUGAAACAUCUGGGCAGUUAAAUUUUGCAAACUUCAAAGAUGUCCAGUACCACACUGACAUACUGAUUUCUCUCUUUAGUGAAGAAUCACUUAGGCUAAUGCACAAAAGCCUCUGUAAAAACCGUUUCAUGCUGAA